rnacentral:rRNA from 1 species
UGGGGAAUUUUGCACAAUGGGGGAAACCCUGAUGCAGCGACGCCGCGUGAUUUAGAAGGCCUUCGGGUUGUAAAAAUCUUUUCUAUGGGAAGAAAAUGACAGUACCAUAGGAAUAAGGACCGGCUAAUUACGUGCCAGCAGCCGCGGUAAUACGUCAGGUCCGAGCGUUGUCCGGAAUCAUUGGGCGUAAAGGGUACGUAGGCGGGUAAGCAAGUUAGAAGUGAAAUCCUAUAGCUCAACUAUAGUAAGCUUUUAAAACUGCUCAUCUUGAGGUAUGGAAGGGAAAGUGGAAUUCCUAGUGUAGCGGUGAAAUGCGCAGAUAUUAGGAGGAAUACCGGUGGCGAAGGCGACUUUCUGGCCAUAACCUGACGCUGAGGUACGAAAGCGUGGGUAGCAAACAGG